AGCGCAACCCUCGACCUUAGUUGCCAGCAUUCAGUUGGGCACUCUAAGGUGACUGCCGGCUAAAAGUCGGAGGAAGUGGGGAUGACGUCAAAUCAUCAUGCCCCUUAUGACCUGGGCUACACACGUGCUACAAUGGGCGGUACAAAGGGUCGCGAACCCGCGAGGGGGAGCCAAUCCCAAAAAGCCGCUCUCAGUUCGGAUUGCAGGCUGCAACUCGCCUGCAUGAAGCCGGAAUCGCUAGUAAUCGCGGAUCAGCAUGCCGCGGUGAAUACGUUCCCGGGCCUU
rnacentral:rRNA from 1 species